UGUGAGGAGGCAUGUUGUGGUUAACAUCGAGUCAGGGUGCCUACCUUUGUAUUUGAAUCUGUGAGAUCUGGACCGUCAACCGCCAUGACCAUGAUCAACACGUCCUCGGCCUCCCAGACGAGGAUGGAAUGAGCAGGGCAAGAGAAGAGGAGGGAGCAGGCCGACGCCCGACGGCGACCUGACCAUCCUCCUGGAUCUCACCGGCAACCCCCUGGCCUGGAGGCCGCCCGCCCGCCCGCCGUCAGUGCGGGGCCUGCGGCACCACUUCCUCGUGCUCCUCCUUAACAUCCAGGACCAGGACGACCACCGGGACCUCCAUGACGACGAUGAAGCCCCGCACAUGGUCGAGCUCGAUGGAACAACAGUGCCUCGGUGUGGUGCAGCCGAGUUGGGCCAACGACUACGUUAUGGUCCUCGUUAUGGUCGAGUUUUUGUUUUGACCUUGUGAAACUUGCUACCUAUGGAUGAAACUGUGUAAUAUUGAUGAAACUAUGUAUAUGUACGGAUGAAACUUGCUACUA